rnacentral:rRNA from 1 species
AUUGAACGCUGGCGACAGGCCUAACACAUGCAAGUCGAGCGGAUGAAGGGAGCUUGCUCCUGGAUUCAGCGGCGGACGGGUGAGUAAUGCCUAGGAAUCUGCCUGGUAGUGGGGGAUAACGUCCGGAAACGGGCGCUAAUACCGCAUACGUCCUGAGGGAGAAAGUGGGGGAUCUUCGGACCUCACGCUAUCAGAUGAGCCUAGGUCGGAUUAGCUAGUUGGUGGGGUAAAGGCCUACCAAGGCGACGAUCCGUAACUGGUCUGAGAGGAUGAUCAGUCACACUGGAACUGAGACACGGUCCAGACUCCUACGGGAGGCAGCAGUGGGGAAUAUUGGACAAUGGGCGAAAGCCUGAUCCAGCCAUGCCGCGUGUGUGAAGAAGGUCUUCGGAUUGUAAAGCACUUUAAGUUGGGAGGAAGGGCAGUAAGUUAAUACCUUGCUGUUUUGACGUUACUAACAGAAUAAGCACCGGCUAACUUCGUG